rnacentral:rRNA from 1 species
AUUGAACGCUGGCGGCAGGCCUAACACAUGCAAGUCGAGCGGACGAAGGGAGCUUGCUCCUGGAUUCAGCGGCGGACGGGUGAGUAAUGCCUAGGAAUCUGCCUGGUAGUGGGGGAUAACGUCCGGAAACGGGCGCUAAUACCGCAUACGUCCUGAGGGAGAAAGUGGGGGAUCUUCGGACCUCACGCUAUCAGAUGAGCCUAGGUCGGAUUAGCUAGUUGGUGGGGUAAAGGCCUACCAAGGCGACGAUCCGUAACUGGUCUGAGAGGAUGAUCAGUCACACUGGAACUGAGACACGGUCCAGACUCCUACGGGAGGCAGCAGUGGGGAAUAUUGGACAAUGGGCGAAAGCCUGAUCCAGCCAUGCCGCGUGUGUGAAGAAGGUCUUCGGAUUGUAAAGCACUUUAAGUUGGGAGGAAGGGCAGUAAGUCAAUACCUUGCUGUUUUGACGUUACCAACAGAAUAAGCACCGGCUAACUUCGUG